rnacentral:rRNA from 1 species
UCCAGACUCCUACGGGAGGCAGCAGUGGGGAAUAUUGCACAAUGGGGGGAACCCUGAUGCAGCAACGCCGCGUGAGUGAGGAAGUAUUUCGGUAUGUAAAGCUCUCUCAGCAGGGAAUAGAAAAGAAGGUACCUGAAAAAGAAGCCCCGGCUAACUACGUGCCAGCAGCCGCGGUAAUACGUAGGGGGCAAGCGUUAUCCGGAUUUACUGGGUGUAAAGGGGGCGCAGACGGCGAUGCAAGCCAGGAGUGAAAGCCCGGGGCCCAACCCCGGGACUGCUCUUGGAACUGCGUGGCUAGAGUGCAGGAGGGGCAGGCGGAAUUCCUGGUGUAGCGGUGAAAUGCGUAGAUAUCAGGAGGAACACCGGUGGCGAAGGCGGCCUGCUGGACUGCAACUGACGUUGAGGCCCGAAAGCGUGGGGAGCAAACAGGAUUAGAUACCCCCGUAAU